ACUAUUUCACCUUUAUUUAUGGAAAUUAAUAUUAAACUUAUUUGAUUAAAAAGGGUUACAAUGUUGAUUUUACGUUUUCUUAGGUAAUCGACUAUUAUUAAGCAAAUAUUUUAUGUUUUCUUUUGUGAAUUGAACAAUAGUUGAGAAAACUUUUCACUGUCGAAGAUGAAUUGAAUUGUUAAGAAUGUUUAGAGCAUCUUUAAAUGAGGUGUCAAAUUUUAGGUAGAGAUGUUGCUGUGCAUAUUUGACAUAAAAAAUUCUUCUAACCGAAGUUUUAUUUAAUGACUGAAUUUAAAACCUUUGUGAUUAGGAGUCAAGUUUGACAUCAAUGUCAAAUUUAUUUUUUAAUUAACUUUAAUUGUGGGUCCCUUAUUUCACUAAUAUUUCAACUAAUAAAUUUUUUGUUUGAUUAGUUUUUUUAAUAAAUACAUACAUUUAAAGCCCUACAUUAAUAAGAAAUAACAUUUAACAAUUCGGUUAGUUAAGUACAAAAGUUGAUAUAAAACUUCAAAUUGUCAUGUCAGUCGUCAAUUAUAAUUUGACUGUUAUAUAUGGUCUUCCGUUAUGCGUUUUACCGGGUUAAUAAAUAAGGAUGUGAUAUCCACACACCUCAUUUUACUUCUCACACACAUUUUUUAUUUUCGGCCGUCGGAUCGGAUGAAUUGAAGAAGAUCAACAGACAUAAAUUAUCAAUGGGUGUGUGAGACACACCCCAAUAAAUAAUGCAAACCGAGUUAAAGCAAACUAAUUGUGGUUUGAUUGAAAAUAGUGAAUUAUCUUGGAUAGAGUUUUUUUUUCUUUUACUCACCGCAUCUCGAGUACAACAUAGAACUGAUUGGGUCAACAUUACACUUUUUUACAACCAAACCAUGCUAAUUACUUUGAUUUGAACGGUUCAAACGUUGUUUAUAUUAUUUUAUUUUUAUUUUAUCAACCUACGGUGUUUAACAAAGCUCUUCGAGGCAUCUCAUUCUGAUAAGUGAUAACGAGUUGACAAAACCACUAUAAAAGAUUAAGAGCAAGUCCACCCCUAAGGACUUUGCGCCAGCACCCAGCGCAUUUAUCCACUCAAAUGAACAGUAAUAGAUUGGAGUGAACAGUAAUAGGCCAAGGCAUCUCCACCCCUAAAAAAAUGCGCUGGCACCCAGCGCAUUUUUUUGGUGUGUUUUUUUUUUAAGUUUAUUUCGGAUAAGAUUUUUAACCAAUUUCAGAUAAAAUUUCAAAUAAACUUAAAAAAAAUACACACUAAAAUAAAAUUACAUACUCAUCAAAUAAACUAUAAAAAAACACACUAAAAUGAAAUUACAUAAACUCAUCAAAUAGACUUUAUUCUUCAACCACAAGUUUUUUGGUAUUUUUUUUUUCACACAAAAAGUAUAUGAAAGCUUUGGUAGAAAGUGUAGAAAAUAUUGAAAUGUGGUGUAAGGUGGAAGAUGAGAGUUAGGUAUUUAUAGAAAAAAUAAAUAAUUUUUUUUUAAAUUUUAUGUAUUUUUUAAUAUUUUUUCUGUAUGUUUUAAUAAAUUUUAAUUAGUUAAUUAA
rnacentral:lncRNA from 1 species